rnacentral:rRNA from 1 species
AUGCAAGUCGAACGGCAGCGCGGACUUCGGUCUGGCGGCGAGUGGCGAACGGGUGAGUAAUGUAUCGGAACGUGCCUAGUAGCGGGGGAUAACUACUCGAAAGAGUAGCUAAUACCGCAUACGCCCUACGGGGGAAAGGGGGGGAUCGCAAGACCUCUCACUAUUAGAGCGGCCGAUAUCGGAUUAGCUAGUUGGUGAGGUAAAGGCUCACCAAGGCGACGAUCCGUAGCUGGUUUGAGAGGACGACCAGCCACACUGGGACUGAGACACGGCCCAGACUCCUACGGGAGGCAGCAGUGGGGAAUUUUGGACAAUGGGGGAAACCCUGAUCCAGCCAUUCCGCGUGUGCGAUGAAGGCCUUCGGGUUGUAAAGCACUUUUGGCAGGAAAGAAAUCGCACGGGUUAAUAACCCGUGUGGAUGACGGUACCUGCAGAAUAAGCACCGGCUAACUACGUGCCAGCAGCCGCGGUAAUACGUAGGGUGCAAGCGUUAAUCGGAAUUACUGGGCGUAAAGCGUGCGCAGGCGGUUCGGAAAGAAGGAUGUGAAAUCCCAGGGCUUAACCUUGGAACUGCAUUCUUAACUACCGGGCUAGAGUAUGUCAGAGGGAGGUGGAAUUCCGCGUGUAGCAGUGAAAUGCGUAGAUAUGCGGAGGAACACCGAUGGCGAAGGCAGCCUCCUGGGAUAAUACUGACGCUCAUGCACG